GAAUAUCGAAACCAUCGGAAUUAUAGAUUCACCUGAAAGUGGUGAUGACGAAAAAGCUAUGCUAAACUUCAAAGAGACAUUUAGGCGAGAGAAUGGUAGAUAUAGCGUAACAUGGCCUUGGAAAGGUAACAGUGAGGAACUCCCAGAAAAUCGCGGGUUAGCUUUGGGUCGACUUAGGUCACUUGUGAAAAGAAUUCAAAAAGAAUCUGAUUUGAUGGAAAGAUAUGAUAACGUGAUAAAGGACCAAGUUGAAAAGGGUAUUAUCGAAAAGGUUGAACGUAAUUCAUACAGUGGAUCAAAGCAUUAUAUUCCUCACCAUGUAGUGAUUACAGCAGAUACGACCACGACGAAAUUGAGAGUAGUCUACGAUGCUUCUGCAAAAGUCAGAAAACAAGGCUCUUCAUUCUUCAAGACGUUAAUAAAUAUAUCCAUGCAAACAGCCGUAUCCGAGGAUUUUUGCACUGUGGAGUAGGGUGCGUACAAUCGAUCGUUUGUGUUCAAGGUGGUGGUUGGACUGACAGUUCAGAUACUGGUCGGUCUACGUCGGCUUCCUUUAAACCGUGGUUUUCGUCGACACAUCGUCUGCUACGUGAACACAUUUCCAGGAACGGAAUACGACCGUAUGCUUCCACCUCUGAUGUGAACUUACUAUGUUAUUCAUUUGAGUUGAUGUGAUCCGUGAAAUCGUGGAUAUCGUAUUCAUUGAUUUUUGUCAUGGUGUCGUCCACGUACAGAGGAACGGUGUGUUCCGGGCAGUUUCCAAAGCCUGCUUCUCAAAGAACUCCAUAUAUAAGUUCGAGACGAUCGGCGAUACAGGAGAUCCCAUGGCCGCACCUUGCUUCUGUUGGAAGAAUUGUUGAUUGUAUAUGAAAUAUGUGCUACUAAGGAAGAGGUCUAACAUCUCAAUCAAUUGUUCAACACUGAGCUCAGAUCGUUCGUUGAGUUUGAUGUCUUCAGCCAAUUUGCUCUUGAUCACUCUGAGUGCUUUAGGUACUGGAAUUGAAGUGAAAAGUGCUGAUACAUCAUAUGAUACCAGUUUCGUGCCUGGGGGUACUUCGAGAUCCUUGAUCUUCUGAACGAAAUCCCCCGAGUUAAAUAUGUGGUGUUCCGUUUUACCCGCCAAAGGGCUAAUGACCGAAGCAAUGUAUUUAGCGGUUACGUACAGUACGCCCCCUGUGCUUGAUACAAUGAGUCGUUAAAGAGUAUCCUUUUUGUGAAUUUUUCGAAGUCCGUAUAGUUUUGGAACGUUCUCUGCUGUGGGAUACACCCGGGGUGUAUGACAUUCUCCUCGUAUCACGUGACCCUUUACCGGUCAUGUGACUGUGACGUCAGUAAGCCAGUAAUCAGCUGAUAAAGAAGAUGUGAUAUCUUCGAAAAUUCCAAGGUAAACAAACUGGCUCUGAGUCCAAGAACUUACUCAAUCAUGCAUCAACCAGUGCAGAGAAACCUCCAUGACCGAAUAUCAUUUGCGUUUCGUUUUUUGUAUUGUUGAUGAUUUUCUACAUUUUCGAGUGAUUGAUUCAUCGGGAAUCAAACGCAAUAAGUCUCUAACCAAUACGAUCGUCAUGAAAAAAUCUCAACCUUGGUGCAACCGACAAUCAAAACAUGUCUGUGCGCACGCCGACCAGUCAUCGAUUUGAACCCUUCCUUGGCUUUUCUGUUUGAGUUUGAAUGUAACUGCCGUGAUACUUCCUUGACGUUGGUUGAUAUUUGCUUGGAGUGAAGGAAGAUUAUUAAAAUAGACCAGACUAUAUUCAAAAUAUACUAAUAAAAGCGUGUUGCAAUGCUACUUUUUACACACUAAACGACAUCAUCAGAUA